UGUUCUGUGGCACUUGUACAGCUAUGGAUACUUUAUAUUCCUUUGUUGGUUUUUCCAUGUUUCAUAAACAGAUGCUGCUUCGUUAAAUCCCUCUUCUUCUUCUCAGGAGACUUACAGCAGCUCAGAGUACCCAGGGAAGGUUGUGAAACAGUCCAAGGACAUUUUGUUUAUUCAUAACCAGACUGGAGGAAGGGCUGUCUGUUAAAGAGAGGAAAAGGCGGCGCUGUGCUGUUUUCUUCUCUCCCUGUGUAACCCAACUAAUACUGCUUCUAACUCCCCCUUGCUGAUCCUUCCAGACCACCUUGCAUCUGUCUGAGUCUACUCUGGGUGAUUUCACUCCCGAACCAUCACACACUGUCAACAGGUCUGAAGAUAUCCCAAGGCGGAUGUAAACCUUGCUGCGCUCAGACUGCUCCAGAUGGGUGGCCAAGGUAGCGUGAAGGCUGAAGAGGAGCAGAAACAAAGCAAACUUGAAGCAUUCCACUGGAACCUCUUAGUAUUCAAGAAGCAGAAAGGGGAAGCAGAAAGGCCACGCCUGCAAGCAAAGUGAGACUUCUCCCUUUGAACAAAACGGUUGACUUUCCUCCUUUCCUACACACUGUGAUCAGUGCCAGCAAUUACAUUACACAACAAAUCUCAUCUGUUGGCUAUGCUACCUCCAAAAUGGUAAUAGGCAAGUCUGGAGCAAACCCUUGUAUAUGUUGAUUGUCCUCAGCCAAGGUACAAAUAAAGUGUAAUUCAGUGACAGAAGAUAUUAAAAGCAAAGAAAAAGAAAUCAGUCUCCAAAAUCUUGACAAAUAUUACCUUGCAAACGUCUGCCAGCCCUUGCUACUCUAUUUGGUGCCAGAAAAGGAUCUGACAGGCUAAGGUUUAUUUUUGAUACCUCGAUCAAGGAAUUGCAUUGAUCUUGUCUCUAUGCUUCUCUGGAACACAGCAGCAUUUACUUCGUGGAUCAUAACGACCACAGCUCUUGGAAGCUAUUCUGAUCUCUUCACUACAGAAGAAUGAGAAAGACAACAUAGAUUCAAACUCUACAAAACCCAGGAUGCUAUGAAACUGUGAUAUUAUAUUUUACUGUCAAAUUUCUUAUUGAUCCACUUAAAGGGAUGUUGACCUUUAAUAUUAAUGUCCUUAGCUACAAAUGUCAUUGGAAAAGACUAUAAUACUUAAUCUUCAGUGACAUAAAACGUCCGUGUCUACUGUGAGCAAAGCCACAGCCUGUAGUGAGGGAACGUAGCCUUAAUUGUGUCAUUUACUUAUCAGGAGGCUCUCAGCAUUGGCUGUUAUGAAAAUUGAAGGUGAAGAGUAUUACCAGGUGAAAAUGCUACUAUUCUUCACAUAAAGCUGUUACUGUGAAAUAAAAAUUAACUUCAUUUUUGUUGGAAAGCUGGUUGAAUUAUACAUUUAUAUCAAAAUAUUAAUAUCAAGAUGCUUUUAACAUAAAAAUGACAAGUACCAGCAUGAUACUUUACAACAAUAAACAGAAAAGGCUUCAUCCAUUACUU